rnacentral:rRNA from 1 species
GAUGAACGCUGACAGAAUGCUUAACACAUGCAAGUCAACUUGAAUUUGGGUUUUUAACUUAGGUUUGGGUGGCGGACGGGUGAGUAACGCGUAAAGAACUUGCCUCACAGGUAGGGACAACAUUUGGAAACGAAUGCUAAUACCUAAUAUUAUGAUAAUAGGGCAUCCUAUAAUUAUGAAAGCUAUAAGCGCUGUGAGAGAGCUUUGCGUCCCAUUAGCUAGUUGGAGAGGUAACGGCUCACCAAGGCGAUGAUGGGUAGCCGGCCUGAGAGGGUGAUCGGCCACGAGGGGACUGAGACACGGCCCUUACUCCUACGGGAGGCAGCAGUGGGGAAUAUUGGACAAUGGACCGAGAGUCUGAUCCAGCAAUUCUGUGUGCACGAUGAAGUUUUUCGGAAUGUAAAGUGCUUUCAGUUGGGAAGAAACAAAUGACGGUACCAACAGAAGAA